rnacentral:sRNA from 1 species
UACUACCUGGAGCCACGUGACAAGCUCAAAGAGCUGAUGGAUGCUCGGGAGGAUCUGAAGGACACGAGUUUUGUCACAGUUGAUAUGGGCGAAAUUUGGGAGGCGUCGGAUCGGUGAAACGUGGAAUUACCAUAAUGUGAAUGUUUAUAUUAAUUAUUUUGAAAUUAUUUGAAUGUUUGAUAAACGUUUUUACGAGCUUAAUUUAACAUAUUUCGAUGACAAUCGUGCUCCAAUGUCAUAUUUUAGAUUUCAUUAGGUGAACCCGCAAACUCGAUGUUUCGCUCAUUUCCAGGCAACAUCACCCUUUUUCGAGUAAUUUUAAAAAUAUUCAUAGUUGUCGUGUAUGUUUUCACAAAAGUUUGAAAAAAUGCUUAAAAGGCGAAAAUAAUGAAGACGUUCGAAAGUACGGUUGUUCCGCCAAUACCUAACAAGACCCAAAUUAUCAUUGGAGCGCGAUUGCACUUCAAACGUUUUUGGCGUUUCGAUUAUACACACACGGUGACUUCAGCCAUUUCAUCUCAGUUCGUAAAUGGAAUCUCAAUAGAGCGAGGUUGCACUUGUCUCUACCUAAAGGCUUAGAGAGAAAAAUUGUGCCCAGUGAGUCACAAUUUCUUCUUGGACACACUUUUCUGUGCGUUUCUGUGGUCACAAAUGUGCGAUGAGACUUCAAAUAAUUCAUAGGGGGGGGGGGGGUAUAAAAGAAACGUGAAAUAGAAAAAAAAAAUUCUUUGCAAUACAAUUAUUUAGUUUUUUUUUUCUAAUUUGAAUAAAAUUUAUUAAAUUAUUUCUUGAAUUAAAACACGCCAAAAUCGACGAAAUCGAGAAGGAAAGAACCGCACACAUUUGCACAGCGGAUUCUUCACUUUCUGUGUCUGCGUCUCUCAAUUUACAAUUCUCUCUCUCUCUGUCUAUUUCUUGGAUAAUCGAACGGAAACAACGUGAGUGCAAGACACAAUGCGGACGAGUUUCCGGAAACGGUUCUAUCGAUUAGUUGCGUGUGCCGCUGGCGGAGUAAGUGAUGAUACUGUGGGCGAAUUUUCGAUUUAAUAAGGGAAUUGUGGUGAAUUCGGCUAUUGUGAAUUUCGGCAAAACCGAAAAUUUGUCGAAAUUGCUGUACCAUUUCGUUUUUAACCGGUUUUUUUUUUGGGUGAGAUUAUAAUUAUUUCAGUACAUAAUUUCAUGCCUAGUGCCGGAAAUCUCUUAGUUUUGUAGAUAGAGUCUAUUAUAUUUCACACAAAACACACUGAAAAACUGAAAAAUAAGUUCAAAAGUUGAAAAUUUUGGGUUAAGCCUAAGCCUGAGCCAACGCCUAAGCCUUAGCCUAAGCCUAAGCAUAAGACUAAAAACGAUGUAAACCCAAGCCUAAAUAGCGUCAGUGCUAACGCUCGCCACUGACGCCAAGCCUGCGCCCAAGCCUAAGCCAAAACAUAUGCCUAAGCCUAAAACUCCAGAAAAACUGAGGAAAUCAGCAUAAAAAGAUGGAAGGUUUCAAAAAUCUAAGACCAUUUACAAACCGAAACUGUUUAGAAACGUUAUUUGAGAAAAAACCAAAGUUCAAACUUGAAAGGUUUUUCACGAAUGAAAAGUGAUUGAUCGUGUGACAAGGUUAUUGUGUAAUAUCUUGAUAUCUCACGAAUAAGAAUCACAAGAACAUACAUCUGACCUGCCAAAUUAUAUUCCCCUUAACCUCCCCCUACCCCCAUGUUUGUUCCGGUUGUCAUGACAAUUGUCCUCCUCCUCUACGCCACAAGCGACUCCGUAAUUGUUUAUAAUAAGUAGCCCCCCAUGAAUUUGUAUUUAUAGGUGGUAAUGAGCGCGCCGACGACCUCAUCCUCCACCGACGAGGACUUUGCGAAGCCCGUGAAGAAUGGAAAAACGUGGGUUAUUAGGACAUGGCAGCUGGUCUAGUGUUAUUCAAAUUUUUCAGCUUCGCAAACCCCAAAUCCUUUACCAACUGGGGUGGUAUUCCGGGAAUCAGUGAUGGAUUCAAAUUUGCAUUCACCGAAACUAACCACGAAAAUGUGCCAUGUGACAAGAAGAUUCUUGACGUCGAGAUUCCGGUGCACAACAUCACCGCAGAUGAUUUCCACAGUGAAAGUGAUCUAUUUGCGACGUGGCUUGGACACGCUACGGUACUAGUCGAUUUGGAAGGUGUAAAGUUUGUGACGGACCCAGUUUGGGCUGAUCGAGCGUCGUUUACGAGUUUUGCUGGACCGAAGAGAUACAGGCCACCACCGAUGAAGUUGGAGGAUCUGCCGGAUUUGGAUUUUGCAGUGGUGUCGCAUGAUCAUUACGAUCAUUUGGAUGCUGACGCGGUGAAGAAGAUCACAGAGUGAGUGGUGGGGGCCUUAAGCUGGAAUUGUAUUCCAAGUUGGCGUGUCCCGGCCACGGCUGCACGUGGUGUCAGAGUGUCUCAUUUCGGUUUGAUCUACGUAGAUCUACAAAAAAUGCGGGAGUUGAGACGCAGAGUUUUCAACCGAUUUCGCAUGGUUAAGAGUGCGCUGACGUCACAUUUUUUGGGCAAAAAAUUCUCACAUUUUUUGUAGAUCAAACCGUAAUCUGACAGCCUGACACCACGCGCAGCUGGGGUCCUUUUACGACGCGUAGCGUGUCGCGUCGCGGCUCGGUUUUAGUUGUAAAACUAAAUGUAUUUGUUCGUGUGGAGUACGCGAUGUUCCCACGCGUUGUCCGACAGACGACUGUCAAUGGAGCGCGAAAGCUGAAAUGAUGAAGGCAAGAAGCCCGUGCGAUAUUUGAGCAGCUCGAAAUAAAAUUAGUUAAAUUUUUCGGCCGAAAUUUCCAUUUUUUACAAAAACACUGAUUCAAAAUUUGAGAUUUUCCACGUGGUGUCAGGCGUCCCAUUACGGUUUGAUCUACAAAAAUGCGGAAAUGUUUCGCCCAAAAAUGUGACGUCAUCACGCUCUUAACCAUGCGAAAUCAGUUAAGAAAUCUGCUUCUAGACGCGUCUAAAUUCCCGCAAUUCUUGUAGAUCAAACCGAAAUGGGACCCUUGACACCACAUGAUUUUCGUGGGAAGACUAUUUUUUCGAACUUGAAAAUCUCAAAUCUGAUAUGAAAAUUUGCGCUGAAAUUUUGUGAUUUUAAAUUUUGUGAUUUAUUCCAGUCGCAACCCCCAAAUCAAGUGGUUCGUUCCGCUGGGAAUGAAGAAAUGGAUGGAAGGCCAGGGCAUCGGAGUCGACGGAUCCUCCACCGCUGUCACCGAGCUCAACUGGGGAGAGAGCUCAGAAUUUGUGAAGAACGGAAAGACCUACACCAUCUGGUGUCUGCCUGCUCAACACUGGGGACAGCGUGGACUUUUCGACCGGAACCACAGAUUAUGGUCAGGCUGGGCGGUGAUCGGCGAGAAUCGGCGAUUCUAUUAUUCCGGAGAUACUGGUCACUGUGACGGAGAGUUUAAGAAGUUUGGCGAGAAGCUUGGACCUUUUGAUCUGGCAGCUAUUCCAAUUGGAGCAUACGAGCCCAGGUGAGGCCUGAUUUCGGAUAAAGUUAAGCCGAGAUUCAAGUUUUCAGAUGGUUCAUGAAAUCCCAGCAUAUCAAUCCGGAAGAGGCGAUUGAGGUUCAUAAACUCAUUCGGGCUAAGAACAGUAUUGGAAUACACUGGGGAACGUACCAUAUGGGCUCUACUGAGG